UACACGCGCGCUUAGUUCAGCACCGGGCGUUCGUGGAGUCAGACACGUUUUUCGCUACAAUCGUUUUCGUUGUGAGUUUGUUAUUUGUUAAUUCGCGUUGAGGUUUUCUUUCGAUAAACUGUAUUUUGUGAUAAUCCACCGCCGUCAUGUUCUUAUUUCAAGGAAUUACGUGUCGAGAAAUAGUGUUCUCGGGAGCACCGUCUUAAGAACAACAGACCCGUUUUUAAAGAUGGGCUGUUUAUUUGAUUUUUGGAUUCUAGUCUAGUUUGCCGUGAGAAUCAGUACCAAGGUGGAUGUGGAACCGACCUAUUAAUUUGCACGGGCUUAUCGCGUCUUUUGGUUUUCUCAGAACGUGUUAGGAUUUUCGGAUUUGUUCCAAAUUGUAAGUGAUAGAAUUUAAUGUUUUCCUAAAUUUUUUACGCAGAUUAUGGUGCCGGACAAAAUGAUUUCUCGCCCUGUAUUGGAGAGAGUUUUGUUGAAAAUAGAACAAGCCUAACAAGAAAGCAUCUUUAGGUUUCUUUACAACGUGUUCUCAGGACACCGCUUAAUUUUUCCCAAAAUGUUUAACGCGGCGUCGUUUAUGAAAGGUAGCACCGAGGAUGAACCUAAGAAGAAGAGUGCGAAAAAAGAAAGACUUGAAAUGUCGGAGAUGUGAAACCAGCUUCAAAAUCCAACCAGUUGCGCAGGAUAAGACUCGACGAGACUGAACAAGAGCUGAAGAAUUGUUACCUGCGAUUUUAAGAAUAUGUAUUUGUUUAUAUAAUAUGAAAACAACUUGAUUGAAAAUUUAAUGCUGCUGGAAAACAGCGGCAAAUUUAGUUUUACGACACACUUUAUUUCAAAAUGCAGCCCAAGAUUUCAUUACAAAUUGUUGUUGCAAUAAAUGUUAGAUUGUAUUGCUAUUGCGUAACAUGUCAUAUUGUAUUGCCUUGUGAUAUAAGUUACAUUGCAUUAUUUUUACUAUAGUCAUAUUCAAUUCCACGCCCGACGAAAUCUUUAGUUUAUAUUUACAUUUUAUUCUAUAUUUUAAGCUUUAGUUAUUCUUUAGUUUGACUGAGAUAAGCAACGUCAAACUUUAGUUAUAAAUUUAGUUUGGACUAAAAUGAGCAGAAUUCGGCUGAUUUUGAUUCUGUGCACAAAAUGCUACAAUAAUUUUAAACUUGUUUUAGUCUGUAGAUAUAUUGCACAAAUUUGUAUUGUCGAAUUAAUGUGUGUUAUGUUUUGAUUCGAUACCGCCAUGUUGCAGUUAGUGUUAAAUGUAAUUUGCUGCACAUGAAAGCAAUGUUCCUAUGAAUGCAUUACUACCUGAUAAAUUUGUUUAUCAAGUGCAAAUUGUUAGUUUGCAUUUACUCUUUGCUUUGUUAAGUGCAGCGUUAAAGCGCAGCACUGUAAAUAGUCAAUUCACUGCUAUGGACGUGUUGUCACGUGUCGCAAAUAGCGUUUAUCAUUAACUACAAUAUGACACUUUUUAUGGCAUCCGGUUCAGAAUCGGCACUUAUAUUUGCUUACUACAAGUCGAAACUUGUACAUUUUUAACUUAUAAAUGUAUUUUCACUGAGAGCGUUUUUUGCUAUCUGCUUUGUUUACGCCUGAUAUCAAUUCUCUCGACAGUUUAGUCGAUCGCGCGCUGUUCUACAGUUAACACGUGUUUUGUUCAUCAGUCGAUCUUCGUGCGACUUUUCGCAUUUCUUACUUUAAUUCUGUAAUUGCCUUCAUCGGUCUUUCGUAACAGGCUAAUGUGGAGCAACCUGUACGUCUGUGCGCUUGGGAUGUUCCGUCGGCCGUCGCUAAGUAUUAUUCGGUUAUGGAAUUAUCUGCAACGGUGUUGGUCUUAUGUGCGCAUCGUGCGUGUUCAUCGGCAGUCGUUUAUCUUCUCGCAUAUUGGCAAAACUUGGUUUUAUUAUUAAUUCUUGCUGAUAGACAACGUUGGUGCUCAGUUUUUGAAUUUGGGAGUCAUGGAAACUGCGAUAUACAUGAAAGAAGUAUUGGAGGUGCGCACAUUUUAAGGUAAGUCUUUAUUGCUACGAGAUUUGAGAUUCGUCAAUGUUUUUUUUUUAUUUGAAAGAUAAAUGUAUUUUAAAUGUUGUCAAUAAAACACAUUGUAAUGUUAUAAA